CACUGACUUCCCAUCAUACAAUGGAUUCAUAGUUUGUCAUUGCAGUAACACGUUGUGUGUGCUUCGUUCCUUAGUUUGAUUGUUUGUACAGUUCUGGCUUCGUCAUUUAUCUGCUUUGUCUUUGUAUGUGCAUCAUCCAGAGCUCGCACCGACUUGAUUUUCAGAGAGUCACACAACACAAAUGACUGGAUGCAGUUAUCUGGGUCAUUCAUUCAAAGGUCUUUCGAGUGAGUUGCAUGCAGGUAAGUUGAUCCAUGCAUAGCUUGUCUGUGGUACUAGAGGGCACCAGAGAGCUCUUCCGGCUGUAGGAGCAUACUAUCCCACGUUUGGCAUCCAAACAUCUGGUGAGGUUUUCAUCCUGUACUUACCUUCUUUCUGUGUGCAACGUCAGGCUUUUUAAAGUUUUUCAUAUGAUGAUAGUGUGAAUUUACAUGCAAAGAUCAAUUCAGUGUGAGAAGCAUCUUUCAUCCUCAGUGGACGGCAGAACAGGGCUGAUAAUAAAUAGUGUCUGAAACGUUAUAUUUUCUGUGCUAAAACAUGGCAACAAAUGUCUGCAUUUUGUCAUUUUCCAAAACAAGACAACAUGUAGUCUGACUGUGCUCUUAGUACAUUUUGGAGUUUUCCUGUUCUGUCUUGAAUAACCCAGGGUUCUAAAGCGCUUUCUUUUAAUCCUUAUGGGGCCAGAGAAUGAGAAGGAGAAUGAGUCAUGUACCACCUUCUGUUGUAUCGUUUAAAUGACACAAUCUGGAGACAGUUUUCAGUCUUCAUUUGGUGCAGUCAAAGAUGGCCAUGUGACACCUAAUCGUACUGUAAUAUAUAGUCAGUCCAGCACGACUUCAAAGUCUGGUUCUGUGCUUCUAUAUAAUAUGUUGUGCCAUCCUAAAGAAUUGAUUUCUUAUAUACUGUACUUUUUCUUUAAUGAACAAUAUUGAGCUCCACAGUAGUAUAUGACGUUGUAAUACUUCCUUAACUUACUUGACUACACUGCAUCGCACACACAUUGAUGAAUACUGUGCCGUACUACACAAAGCUGCUACGCUAUGCCUUGCUGUACUAUACCAGUUUCUCUUGAAUUGUGUUUAUACACUCUUUGAGUUUGCUAGGAACUUUGAGGCAAGACGCAGACGGAUCGCUAGUCCAUCCCAGAGCAUGCAGACAUUCACACCAAGAGAUGAUCUACUCCACCACUCCAUUUCAGUCCAGACUCAUGUCGCCUUGUGACUCAAAGUGUUGUUAGGCUAUUGUUUCUCUUCAGUCAUACUGUAAGUAAAAUUUCCAUGUUUAUGUGAAAACAACGUAUUCUGUGAGCGUUAUUAUAUAAUACCGUUAGUGUACCUGUUAGGGUCAGUGGUGUUAUGACAGAAAAGGUGCAGUAAGGUGUGAUCGUCUUGUCAGCAGCCAAUGAAACGGUGGCGUUAGAGACAGAUGGAAAGAACAACGAGCAAGAGACGGCAGGAGGCCACUGGAGAAAGUCAGCUUUAUUGACCAAAGAUUGGGGGAGAGAAGAGAGAGAAAGUGAAAGUACAGAUCCAUUAAGUUGUGGGAGCAGGCAGACAAGAGGAAAGGUGACAGCACCAGAGCAGUACUGCAGGAGGAAGUGAAUGUUCCUUCGCUGAGAUCAUUAAGCUGCCGUUGGCUUUUGGAAAACGUGGAUGGUUUGAUUCCUACUGGCUGCCAAAAAUGGAGCAGUACAGUUGCGGACGAAGGAAGUGACUUCACCCGUUGAACAAAACACCAGAGAAAAAGAGAGAGAUAGCAAAGUGGCAGAGUUUAUAUAAAAUAAAGGCCUCGUCGAAUUGAAUAGCCUUUUCUGCUCCCUUCACAAGAGAGUAGUCAAAACAAAAGGUCUAAUUGAAAAUUCUAAUAUCAGCUAUGAUUGGUUAUGACUAGGAAGAGGCACAUAAAGAAACCUUGUCUGGUCUGUUCACACUCCUUCAGAUGUGUGUGUGUGUGUGCGUGUGUGUGUGUGUGUGUGUGUGUGUGCGUGUGUGUGCAUGUGUGUGUGCGUGUGCGUAAUGUCACUAACUCACUAAAAAUCUGUAUUCAUGUUUUUAGAUUUCUUCUGAAGGAUUGAUUUUACAUGGCUGUGUUGUCUGUGAAAACUGUUGUAAACAGCUUUAUUCCCAGUCAGAGACCACACGCCUCAUGGAUGUACUGUCAUGGCUGUGGUCACUCGAGGGCGGAGCUAUGUCGUUGUCAGGGAGAAUUUGGAGAAAAAAAAAGAGAAAUGACGCGUCUCCAAGUGAAAAGUCAAACUGGAGUGUGUGUAGGUGUGUGUGUGUGUGUGUGUGUGUGUGUGUGUGUGUGUGUGUCAGCCAAGUCCAGAGGAGGAGGAGGGCAGUGCUUCUGUUAGUAACCACCCAGACACAGAGGAGAAGGGAGAGGUGUUGUGGGCCGAUAAUAAAAGGAAGAAGAAGAUUCAGUCACAUGAGGAUGCAGCACUCGCAGCGUUUCCUCUUGUCUGUACCUGUGUCGGGGGUGAGACCAGGAGGGGGUGCUGUGUUGGCAUCAGGA